UAAUCCCUCUCUCAGAGAGAAACGAUUCAUUUCUUCAACACCUUUUUUUCUUAUUUUUCCUCUUCCUCCCUCUCUUACAGUGAAGCAGUCGUGGAGAAGUGGGUUAUACACUAAUCAAAACUUCUUCUAAUGUUGUCGAAGCAAAUCGUUGUUUGGUCAAGGAAUUUCAUCGAGCCCUUAAAAUUCACUGGAUGAAAUCAUAUAUGGGAAACAGCUGAACCUGAUGCAGUUGAUUCAGUGGAAAGAAGGGAAAGAAAAAUAUACACAGGACACAAUGCAGUUCAGGCAGCUGAAAGAACGGACAUAAAAACAUGUAACGGUGCUAAUUCCCCGGACAAACAACGCUGAAAAUACUUCGUUUUACAUAUAAACGACUUCCAAAGUAAGCAGUGGAGACCAAAUUUGCACUCCAGAAUGUAUGUUUUCAUGUUCUUCCAAUUGGUGUCUGGUCAUCCUCUUGAUACUAAUCAGCAAUGAAUAAUUACACAGUGAUAGUUGUUAGUAAAAACCUUAUGAGGUUCCUUUUUGAACAAGUUAGGUAAACUGACCGCCCUUAUCGAUGCAGCUGAGGAAUAUCGAUACAAUAUGAGACGCCUAUAUCAAGUAUCAACUAGAAAAUGUCUGAGUUCCGUUGGGGAGGAAACUCCAAGAAAAACCAUAGUUCUUAUGUGCACUUAGUGUAUCGCUUUUUUGCACAAUGCUUAUGGUGAUCGAGAUGGGUACUUGGCUGAUAAAGGCAAUAGUAGUGUCUGCAGCAACAGUGGGGUAAAUUCAAGUUAUUUACCCUUCAACGUUCUACUGUACAUAUACUUGCAAAAAUGUGCAGUUUCUUUUCGGUGGUCUAGAAUCAUGACACCAUAUGCUUUUUUUUUUUUCUGAUUGUCACAAUAAUAUGUUGGCAGAAUGCGCUUAAUUAUGUUUAAUCUGCUUAUCGUUUGGGAAUGAUAUUUUGUGUUCUUUCAAGUUUGUUUUUGGAAUUGUACCAAAAAUGAGGACCUAUAUAUGUCAACUAAAUGUACCACUGUCAUGGGCAGAUUACAAUAGGGUAAAUUAGUAGUA